GGAUCUGAACUUCGACGGAUGAAGCUACAUCUACCGAAAGGUGUAAAUCGGCGGUUCGACUCCGCCCGGAUCCA
rnacentral:tRNA from 1 species